CUCAGUGUCUGCGAAGUCCCCAUAGCACAGUGAAACACAAUCUGCCUGGAUAGAGAUCACACACAUACAGACACAGACACACACACACAGACACAGACACACACAGACAUAAAGGCACACAGAACCCCACCCAGACAGACACACACACACAGACACAGACACACACACACAAACACACAUACAAACACAGACACACACACAAACACACACUCACAAACACAGACACACACACACAAACACACAUACAAACACACACACACUCACAAACACAGAUACACACACACAAACACACAUACACAGAGACACACACACAGACACACGCAGACACACACACAGACACAGACACACAGACACACAGACACAGACACACACACACAGACAUAAAGGCACACAGAACCCCACCCAGACAGACAGACACACACAAACACAGACACACAGACACACACACAGACACACACACACAAACACACACACACAGACACACACACAAACACACACACACUCACAAACACAGACACACACACACAAACACACACACAAACACACAUACAAACACACACACACUCACAAACACAGACACACACACACAAACACACAUACACAGAGACACACACACACAGACACACACAGACACACACACAGACACACACACACAGACACACACACAGACACACACAGACAUAAAGGCACACAGAACCCCACCCAGACAGACACACACAUACAAACACAGACACAGACACACACACUCACAAACACACAUACAAACACAGACACACACACACAGACACACAGACACACACACAAACACACAGACACACACAUACAAACACAGACACACACACACAAACACACAUACACAGAGACACAGACACACAAACACACAUACAAACACAGACACACAGACACACACAUACAAACACACACACACACACACAGAUACACAGAACCCCCCCAGACAGACACACAUAUACAAACACAGGCACACAGGACCCCCCAGACACAAACACACACAUGGACACACAGAGACCCACACGCACACAAACACACAGACACCCCAGACAGACACAGACAUGCAAACACACACACACACACGCCCCUCAGAAGAUUCAUGACUCUCCAGCCAGGCUGAUGUCCACCUAAGGUGUGGCCAUGGCGGGGACAAAGC
rnacentral:lncRNA from 1 species